AUUCCAGACUGGUCUGAUAUGCCCCAUAAGGAAGAAAAGCUUGAAGAAGCCAUUGAAGAGCUGAAGAAUAUUUUUCAUUAUUCUGAUGAGAUCAACUUUUGGGUGGAGGAGAAAAUCCAUGAAAAAGGAAGGCAAACAAACGUAACAUGAGGUUGCAACAUUUUGAUGAGAAGAAGACUGAUGCACAAAACCGAGCUAGUUGUCCAAACGAAGUUAUUGACACUCAGUGGGCAAAUAUGUUGAUAUAUUGGCGUUCACCUGAAUUCAAG